UACGUAGGGUGCAAGCGUUGUCCGGAAUUAUUGGGCGUAAAGAGCUCGUAGGCGGUCUGUCGCGUCGGCUGUGAAAACCUGGGGCUCAACUCCGGGCCUGCAGCCGAUACGGGCAGACUAGAAUUCGGUAGGGGAGACUGGAAUUCCUGGUGUAGCGGUGAAAUGCGCAGAUAUCAGGAGGAACACCAAUUGCGAAGGCAGCUCGCUGGGACGUUACUGACGCUGAGACGCGAAAGCGUGGGGAGCAAACAGG
rnacentral:rRNA from 1 species